AAGUUAUUGCAGUUAAAAAGCUCAUAGUUGAACCUUGGGAUGGGUCACCUGUUUCACCUUCGGUGAGCACAGUCGGCUUGUCUCUUCUGUCGGCGAUAUGCUCCUGGCCUUAACUGGCCGGGGCGUGCCUCCGGUGCUGUUACUUUGAAGAAAUUAGAGUGCUCAAACCAAGCCUACGCUCUUUAUACAUUAGCAUGGGAUAACAUCAUAGGAUUUUGAUCCUAUUGUGUUGGCCUUCGGGAUCAGAGUAAUGAUUAACAGGGACAGUCGGUGUGAUAACCCACCUUUCGGGAUAAGAAUGGUCGAGACAGAAGAUUGGUCGAACAUCAACUUGGUGGUCGAAUCGCGGGCGACAAAGAUUGAUCGG
rfam:Brassica rapa chromosome A6, whole genome shotgun sequence.